AAACUAAUUUAAUCUGGCGGCAUUUCAUCUAAUUAGAGGAAUUUGUCCUUUAAUCGAUAACCCGCGCUAAAUUUUACUUUAAUCUAAAAUUUAUAUACCGCCAUCUCAAGAAUCAAUCAAAAUAUAUUUCUCAAAAAACUUAAUAAGAAGUUAGGUCAAGGUGUAAUUUAUAUUAAAGAAUGAGAUGAAUUACAUUAAGCAUUACUUAAAGAUUAUAAAUAAACUUAUUUGUAUAAAUAAGGAUUUAAAAGUAAUAUUAAAAUAAUAUUAUAAUAUGAUAAAGAUAUUAAAUGUGCACACAUCGCCC
rnacentral:rRNA from 1 species